CUGGAUUCCAGCAUGUAAAAUUGUUUCGUACGCGCAAAAAAAUUUAAAUUGCUAAUCAGCAAGCGAACUUUAUUAGACAUCACCGGUUGGCCGUAUUUUUCCAGUGAAGUGACUAUGGUGGAGAAAUGUGUAAAAUUAAUGCACGAACAUAGUGUAAAAUACUUGGCCGCUAUCGUAGUCAAUAAUCGGAUAUGGCGUGAGUGGCGGCUGGGCAAGUCCUUCUCUUCUGCUUUUAAAAUCGGAUAAAUCGCCUUUACCGACGGGAAAAAUCUCGGAAGAAGAUCUUGAGUAGCUUCACUAUUGUGUGUCGGAGGACUAGUUGGAAAUUUUGUUUUUGGCUACAUCGCUAGUAUAUUUGGUCGGAAAUUGCCUUUGAUAUUAAUCACUAUUCCAGCAUUUAUUAGUUGGUCGCUUAUUUGGUUUGCACAAAACGUUUGUUAUCUGUAAGUUCGUGGUCGGAUUUCUUCAAUUGAUUGCAAAUUGGGCCGUUUUAACCCUGCCAUUCUAGUUAUAUCCGGAAUUAUGCCGGAAAAGUUGAAAAAUUUAGGCUCAUCAUUUUGUAUGGGUCUUUUGUGGGCUACUGCAUUCCUUGUUACAAAAUGUUUACCACUUCUCAACGCAACAUUCGACUUUCACGGAACGAUGUUUUUAUUUGCUGGAUUUUGUUUAUCCGAUUUGGCUUUUAUCAUGGUAUUCAUGCCAGAAACAAAAGGGAAAAAUUAUGAGCAAAUCCAGAAUUUACUUCGAUAAGUCACCGA